rnacentral:lncRNA from 1 species
UCUGAACCUGUGAGCCAGCCACAAUUAAAUGUUGUCCUUUAUAAAACUUGCCUUGGUCAUGGUAUCAGUUCACAGCAGUAAAACCCUAACUAAGGGCUGGAGAGAUGGCUCAGUGGUUAAGAGCACUGACUACAGCACUGAUUGCUCUUCCAGAGGUCCUGAGUUCCAAUCCCAGCAACAACAUGGUGGCUCACAACCAUCUGUAAUGAGAUCUGAUGCCUUCUUCUGGUGUGUCUGAAGACAGCUACAGCUAUAUAUAAUAAAUCUUAA